GUCGAACGGAAAGGCCCUUCGGGGUACUCGAGUGGCGAACGGGUGAGUAACACGUGGGUGAUCUGCCCUGCACUUCGGGAUAAGCCUGGGAAACUGGGUCUAAUACCGGAUAUGACCACAUGAUGCAUGUCGUGUGGUGGAAAGCUUUUGCGGUGUGGGAUGGGCCCGCGGCCUAUCAGCUUGUUGGUGGGGUCACGGCCUACCAAGGCGACGACGGGUAGCCGGCCUGAGAGGGUGACCGGCCACACUGGGACUGAGAUACGGCCCAGACUCCUACGGGAGGCAGCAGUGGGGAAUAUUGCACAAUGGGCGCAAGCCUGAUGCAGCGACGCCGCGUGAGGGACGACGGCCUUCGGGUUGUAAACCUCUUUCAGCACAGACGAAGCGCGAGUGACGGUAUGUGCAGAAGAAGGACCGGCCAACUACGUGCCAGCAGCCGCGGUAAUACGUAGGGUCCGAGCGUUGUCCGGAAUUACUGGGCGUAAAGAGCUCGUAGGUGGUUUGUCGCGUUGUUCGUGAAAACUCACAGCUCAACUGUGGGCGUGCGGGCGAUACGGGCAGACUAGAGUACUGCAGGGGAGACUGGAAUUCCUGGUGUAGCGGUGGAAUGCGCAGAUAUCAGGAGGAACACCGGUGGCGAAGGCGGGUCUCUGGGCAGUAACUGACGCUGAGGAGCGAAAGCGUGGGGAGCGAACAGGAUUAGAUACCCUGGUAGUCCACGCCGUAAACGGUGGGUACUAGGUGUGGGU
rnacentral:rRNA from 1 species